rnacentral:rRNA from 1 species
UACGAAGGAAGCUAGCGUUGUUCGGAUUUACUGGGCGUAAAGCGCACGUAGGCGGAUCGUUAAGUCGGAGAUGAAAUCCUGAAGCUCAACUCCAGAACUGCCUUCGAUACUGGCGAUCUUGAGUCCGGAAGAGGUGAGUGGAACUCCUAGUGUAGAGGUGGAAUUCGUAGAUAUUAGGAAGAACACCAGUGGCGAAGACGGCUCACUGGUCCGGUACUGACGCUGAGGUGCGAAAGCGUGGGGAGCAAACAGG